CACGCCCAGACCGAGUAGGAAACGAAAGCAGUGGCAAAAAGUAAAUAAGGAACACUUGACCUUCCUUUAUUGGUAAAUUUACACGCCGACAGCGAUUGACGGACGCUGCUUGCAUGGCAAGGACGGCGCAGCCUUGUUUCAUGUCAAUCGCUUAUGUACAUAGCGGCGCAAAAUAUUGUAUGCGGAGUGUUUAAUUUUAUGACAAGUGAA
rnacentral:sRNA from 12 species